rnacentral:rRNA from 1 species
AUACGGAGGGUGCAAGCGUUGUCCGGAUUUAUUGGGUUUAAAGGGUGCGUAGGUGGUUUUUUAAGUCAGUGGUGAAAGCCUACAGCUUAACUGUAGAGGUGCCAUUGAUACUGGGGAGCUUGAGUAUGGACGAGGUAGGCGGAAUUUGUGGUGUAGCGGUGAAAUGCAUAGAUACCACAAGGAACACCGAUAGCGAAGGCAGCUUACUGGGCCAUAACUGACACUGAGGCACGAAAGCGUGGGGAGCGAACAGGAUUAGAAACCCUAGUAGUCC